rnacentral:rRNA from 1 species
GACGGAGGGGGCAAGCGUUGUUCGGAAUUAUUGGGCGUAAAGGGCUCGUAGGCGGACGGGCAAGUCUGGCGUGAAAUCUCCACCGCUCACCGGGGAGGGGUCGCUGGAUACUACCCGCCUGGAGUUCGGUAGAGGACCGUGGAAUUCCGCAUGUAGCAGUGGAAUGCGUAGAUAUGCGGAAGAACACCUGUGGCGAAGGCGGCGGUCUGGGCCGAUACUGACGCUGAGGAGCGAAAGCCAGGGGAGCAAACGGG